UUGGGGUAGCCCCCAAAAUAUUGGGACAUAUAAAAAAAAGACAAAUUUCAGAGUAGCUGUUGACAUUAUAGUUGCGCAGGAACUUUGUUGACUCUAGAGAACCUCGGGCAAAUCGCAUAUCCCCGUGGCGGCGACUUUGCAUGCGGAUGUCAUUUAUAUCAACUUUCGAUGCCAGUUUCUGCACCUACCAUGGUGACCACGGGUAACGGGGAAUCAGGAUUCCAUUACGUACAGGGACCCUGAGAAAUGGCUACCACAUGCAAGUAAGGCAGCAGGCGCGCAAAUGACCCCCUCCCGACGCGGGAAGGUAGUGACAA